GACGAACGCUGGCGGCGUGCUUAACACAUGCAAGUCGAACGGAAAGGCCCUGCUUUUGUGGGGUGCUCGAGUGGCGAACGGGUGAGUAACACGUGAGUAACCUGCCCUUGACUUUGGGAUAACUUCAGGAAACUGGGGCUAAUACCGGAUAGGAGCUCCUGCUGCAUGGUGGGGGUUGGAAAGUUUCGGCGGUUGGGGAUGGACUCGCGGCUUAUCAGCUUGUUGGUGGGGUAGUGGCUUACCAAGGCUUUGACGGGUAGCCGGCCUGAGAGGGUCCGGCCACAUUGGGACUGAGAUACGGCCCAGACUCCUACGGGAGGCAGCAGUGGGGAAUAUUGCACAAUGGGCGGAAGCCUGAUGCAGCAACGCCGCGUGCGGGAUGACGGCCUUCGGGUUGUAAACCGCUUUCGCCUGUGACGAAGCGUGAGUGACGGUAAUGGGUAAAGAAGCACCGGCUAACUACGUG
rnacentral:rRNA from 1 species